rnacentral:rRNA from 1 species
AUAGCGUAUAUUUAAGUUGUUGCAGUUAAAAAGCUCGUAGUUGGAUUUCGGGCGGCCGCCGCCGGUCCGCCUUCGGGUGUGCACUGGCGGCGGGCGCUUUGCUGCCGGGGACGGGCGCCUGGGCUUGACUGUCCGGGCCUCGGAGUCGGCGAGGUUACUUUGAGUAAAUUGGAGUGUUCAAAGCAGGCCUACGCCCUGAACACGUUAGCAUGGAAUAACACGAUAGGACUCUGGCCUAUCCUGUUGGCCUGUGGGACCGGAGUAAUGAUUAAGAGGGACGGUCGGGGGCAUUCGUAUUCCAUUGUCAGAGGUGAAAUUCUUGGAUUUAUGGAAGACUAACUACUG